rnacentral:lncRNA from 1 species
AAUACCAUUCAUAUGAGAGUUGCAAAAUCCGAGAGCUUACUCGGCCCUCACGCAGCUAAGUAAUGGUACUAGAACAGAGAGCUAAAUCUGCAAAACUACAGAUUUUUCACUUGUUACCGAUAUGAGAAUGGAGUAUCGGUACCCAGUUCUGUGGAGUUUGGGAGAACUCUUGGAUUUUGCGGACCUCCCGCGAGUACAAGCAAUGAUUCGUGGUGUACCGAUACUUAUUCGGGCAUGUAUCGAUACACAAUAGAAAACAUAAAAAAUCAAUGUUCGGCAUCUACAAAAUUAGCUUGGAGUAUCGGAACGCUUGAGUACUCAACUCUAUGAAGUAGAGGUGAGGUUGCUUAGAUGUCCAUAUAGAACGGAGAGAGAUACAGCAAUUGUGUCACGCCCCGGGGCCGAUUUUAAAAGCCUUUUUAAAAUAGAGUUGCGGAAAACGUGCCCUUUUUUUUUCUUUUUUUUCAACCUGGCCCACGCGACGUACAGACCCGCCACAAAUACAAAGUUCCUCUGUCCACUCGGGCAGAGUCUCCUUUGUAUUUGCACGGCGUACCAACGAUACAACGGGAUCACAACCACAAUCUACAUUUACCAAUCAACAACCAAGGCAUGAUAUGCAUUUCCAUACAGCUAACAAUCCUUAGAAUGAUGCAUGCCUCUAAACACUCCUUAGGCGCUGGAUGAUGCAAUGCACAAUACAACAAACAUCCUAUUUAAAAGUGCUCCCCACACGGAAGCUUUUGUUUUUAAACUCUAAUUCAUUCNGCGCCAUUAGUUCCAGAAUAGCUGAACCGGUCGAAACGAGCUAUUGGACUGCUAUGAACAGAGUCCGGUACGAGCCAGAAGCCAACUUCUCACCGCGGCUUCUCCGGAAAAACGAGUUACUAUUCACUUUAAGUGAAAACUAAUAAUCGCGUAACUUCUCCGUUUUAGCUCAGUUUCUCCUGAAACUUGACGAGUGCUUAUGUAAUUAAAUUACACACAUAAACAUCAUCAACAGAGAGUUUAGCUACACUGCAAAAAUCUCAGUCCUUACAAAUUGCAUGCACCUUGUGCAUGGUUGCAUGAGUGAGUAGUCUUCUAUAAUUUAUAGAAGACGAGAGAGGGGUGAUAGAUUCAAAAAACAGGCUCGAUUGAAACUACUCUAUAUAGAAGAGGAGCCAAGUGUAAUUCUUCUCUUGGUUAGUGAACUUAUUUCACCUGUAGUUGUCCUUUCUUUCUUUUUUGGUUGUGCUAGAAAUAGUUUUUUGUUGAAGAGAUGAGUUUAUAGUAAAAAUUCAAUUUGACGUUUCCGUUGCGAAAUUCCAACAACUUGUGCCGGAGUGAGUACCGGCUCAACAGUAGUCGAUAUCUGAGCGGAUUUCAUAUUCACAAAAUUUGGUAUCUGAGCAAGUACCAGAUUCCCAACACAUUCGUAAUAACAGUUCACAUUUAUAUAUGUUGUCAUAUACGCUUAUGUUC